GCCUGGGAGGCUCAGUCAGUUGAGUGUCUGACUUCAGCUCAGGUCAUGAUCUCACAGUUUGUGAGUUCGAGCCCCACGUCGGGCU
rnacentral:tRNA from 1 species